GCAUAUCAAUAAGCGGAGGAAAAGAAACCAACAGGGAUUGCCCCCAGUAACGGCGAGUGAAGCGGCAACAGCUCAAAUUUGAAAUCUGGCUUCGGCCCGAGUUGUAAUUUGCAGAGGAAGCUUUAGGCGCGGCACCAUCUGAGUCCCCUGGAACGGGGCGCCACAGAGGGUGAGAGCCCCGUAUAGAUGGACGCCUAGCCUGUGUAAAGCUCCUUCGACGAGUCGAGUAGUUUGGGAAUGCUGCUCAAAAUGGGAGGUAAAUUUCUUCUAAAGCUAAAUACCGGCCAGAGACCGAUAGCGCACAAGUAGAGUGAUCGAAAGAUGAAAAGCACUUUGAAAAGAGGGUUAAAUAGCACGUGAAAUUGUUGAAAGGGAAGCGCUUGUGACCAGACUUGCGCCGGGCGGAUCAUCCGGUGUUCUCACCGGUGCACUCCGCCCGGCUCAGGCCAGCAUCGGUUCUCGUGGGGGGAUAAAGGCACCGGGAACGUAGCUCCUCCGGGAGUGUUAUAGCCCGGGGCGUAAUGCCCUCGCGGGGACCGAGGACCGCGCAUCUGCAAGGAUGCUGGCGUAAUGGUCAUCAGCGACCCGUCUUGAAACACGGACCAAGGAGUCAAGGUUUUGCGCGAGUGUUUGGGUGUAAAACCCGCACGCGUAAUGAAAGUGAACGUAGGUGAGAGCUUCGGCGCAUCAUCGACCGAUCCUGAUGUUUUCGGAUGGAUUUGAGUAGGAGCGUUAAGCCUUGGACCCGAAAGAUGGUGAACUAUGCUUGGAUAGGGUGAAGCCAGAGGAAACUCUGGUGGAGGCUCGCAGCGGUUUCUGACGUGCAAAUCGAUUCGUCAAAUUACUGAGCAUGGGGGCGAAAGACUAAUCGAACCAUCUAGUAGCUGGUUACCGCCGAA
rnacentral:rRNA from 1 species